GAUUCAAUGGCCAGAGACCUGUUAGGUUAUCCAUUCAAGUGAGUGACAGUCUGUUGUGUUUUUCACCACCACAGUAAAGAAAAAGGCAAAAUGUGUGGCAGGCCUUUUUAGGUUCUGGAGACAACAAAAUAGUACUUUUGGGUAACCUAACCUGUUUUAUGGGUAACUGUAAUUUUGAGUGGGGCCCAGAGCAAACUGUCUUGCCAGUUGGGCCUUAUGGUUAGGCAGAUACAAUGGUAUUGGAAGUUCAUGUGGUAGAGAUGUUAUAUGAAGCCUCUGAGGGUAAGUGCCAAUAGGAGAAUUACAAGAUUCCUUGGUUUUUGAGUAAAGAUCUAUCUUCCUCAACCAAUGUUUUGUUUUGUUUCUUUGAAAAGCAGCUCCUGGUUUGCUGCUGGUACCUGAUAGAGAUGGAACUCCUGACCAUGGGACAUAAGUGACUAUGUGAAUGAUCGAACUACUACUCGUCAUGAACUGGUGUUAUCUGAUUCACCAAUCAUACAACUGGAUGGGCAUAACAGCAGUUCACUCCCUACAAAACUGGGUACAUGGCCACAACUAAACUGAAUAAGCAGUAGAUUUUGGCAUGCCCAAAUCUGGAAGUGAAAAAAGCAACAACAACAACAACAAAAAAAACAGAGCAGCAAGGAAAAUCGGUAAGCUUUAUCCUGCAGCAAAAAUAUCAAUCUGUUCUUAAGGAAUUAAGUGCUUCACAAAGGUGAGUUCUCCAUGUGACUAAGGCUUCAAUUAUUCAUUGUGGACAGUAACCCAGUGCAGUUUGAAGGUCCUUGUCAUUACAGGUGACCUAGUAAAUGUUUGACAACUAGCUCACCAGGAAAGAAAAAAAAAAAAAAAGCUUUGAUUAUGGUGUUUGCAAAUUUCUUGGGGUAAAUAUCCCACUGUGGCUCAUUUCAGGCUACCACAGGACAUCACAGAACACAGAAUUAGAAGAAG